AGAAACAAAGAACAACAUCCUGGCCUGCGGGAGUGGAUGCUGCGGAUGCUCAUCUCAGGCACCCUGCUGUUUCACAGCUGGCAGCAACAGAUAGACUUAUCAGUCGUCUGAGCCAAGGUUCACCAGAUGGAAUCUCAUCCCACUCAGAGAUCGUCUAUUAUGACUCUAAAGACUGCCUGCAUGACAUCUCUUUUUAAAUUCAAUGCAUAAUUAUAUAAACCAGAAAUUAAUCUGAUUUCUUCAUUAAUGAAAUUCUCAUUGUUUGU